rnacentral:lncRNA from 1 species
AAUGAACACAGCGAGACAUGCGUAAACAUCGCGCCUUAUCGUCGACAGCGCUGAUGUCAAAAUGUCACAUUAGAACAGAGCGGGAGACGGACGAUGUCUACCAAAUGCGAGGUGCGUUGUCUUAUCGCAUGCGCAAAAGUCAAAGGGUGAAAAAGGGUAAAAAGAUGGAGUCACGCGUGAUCUAAGUGCGUCCAAUUCCUUUCACCUGAUUUGAAAUCAGGUACGAUUGCACGUCCUAGUUGUGGCCGGGGGUGGGUACGAUGAGGGUUGAUCCAUCGAUCCACACAGCGGGCGUCUCGGCGGGCGUUGAAUCAACGCUUAGUUGCAGUGGAAUGUCAGAAACCGUGAAGAAUGUCUGUCAUAAACGCAUUGAGAUGCAGCGAAAAGAUUCGAUGCAUGCUUCAGAUUUCUUGGAAAACAGCGCCGCGUCGGAGUGAGAAAGAGAGAAAGAGAAGCAGUGAGCUAUGGUGGACCCAUAAGCCGCCCUUCGGCCGUCCGCCCGCAGAGAGGACAUAACAGGUCGAACAGGAUCGACUCGGUGCGGACGCCCCUUCAUCGUUAAUCGUAGUCGAAACGGACAGGCAUUCUCUUCCAACGAAAGUUUUCAUUCGAUAAACGACUAAUUAUGGAGGGAUUUACGAAUAAGCUUUAUCGUAGUUGCAUAUGUAUAACAACUGCGUACGAAGACAGGUAUAUGUAAGGUACACGCCGAUUGUACCUCCAACUUUGUACAAGCGGACAGAGUAUUGAAUAGAUUGGUACGUCUACCCAAUUACUGCUGCUGGUACGUCAUUCCUCGUAACAUAAUAUCCACGAUGAUAAGGCACCAACGAAUCGACAGUGAUUUCGCAAGUCAAGUAAUUGAGGAUACUCAAAAUUUACUAUCUGAUAAUCUCGUCGUUAAAGAAAUUUGGCAUUCGCCUGUCAACGCUUAGGUAUUACAAUACCUGUCCCUAUACCGCAAACGACCUUUGUGUACCUUACAUUGUACCGUACCCCUGACCUAGUGGGGGAUAAGAACUAGGUACGAGGGGUUUUUAGGGCCAGGGGACAGAAACGAGUCAUAAACAAAUCUUUCCGGGUGAGAAAGGAUCUCUCACCGUAUCCCGUUGCAGGAUUUCUUUAUAUAUAUGCACACCUUGCCUAUCUGUAUUUGCUGUAUUACUUAUAUUAUACAUCUUGCGCGAUAAAUA